GAAUAUCAUUUGUUCGGGGGUAGAAUGAGGCUAUAAUGUAUCAUAUGAAGUAUUGAUGAUAACAACAAGAUGAACAUAAAGAAAAGAAUUUAAUUUGGCAUAGAAAUUGGAGACUUUAUUCAACUAUAAUGGAGAAAGAAUCACAAUAAAUGCGUUUCUCACAAUUAUGCUAACUUCUGUAAUGAACCCACUUGUAAAGAAGAGUAACCUAUAUAUGGAGGAUAUAUCAAAACCCUAACAAUAUUCUUAAAGAUGGCAAUAGUAUUAAAAAUGCAUGGAUAAAGAAAACAAUAUUUUUGCAAUAAAAAAAAGCGCAUGGAAUAAAGGAAAUAAUAAUUUUUAAAUAAAAAAUGCGCGAAAUAAAGGAAACAAUAUUUUUCUAAAAAAAAUUCAAUCGAAUUUCGAUCGCAAACCCAACACUUUUCAUUUUAACACAAACUCCACUGUAAUUAACUAAACUUUAAAAUUUCUCCAUUUGGAGAAAAAAUUUGACUGCAAGGAAUAAACUGAGCUCUUCAACAAGUACCAAACUAACUUCUCCAAUGAAUCAAAAAUUCUCUACCUCUUCCACGUUAUCCAAUGAGGAUAAAUUAAUCUAAUCACUGCUCCAAAAAAUUACCUCGAAUUUAACCAAAAAUCACAAAUACUAUAAAAUUUACCAAACAAAGCCGAAACAUAAUCAACAUCAGGUCCAUGCUAGACUCAACACCUUAAAAUACACUUAAAGCUUGCGCAACAAAUCAGAAUUCUCAUACCUAUCGUCACUUGGUCUCUCCAAAGCGGUAUUACCUAUAACCUCUAAACUUGAUCAAGUUGUAUUCUUCAACAUGGAACCCCUAACCAAAACCCAAUGAUAUUAUACCAAAUUGAAUAUCUACCAUGGUACUAAACAUUAACUAAUUGUUUUUCACGAAUUUUGCACAACCUUUGCAAAAAGUAUAACUGAAACUUUUUUCGUUCCUCCAAUACAAUAUGGAUACCAUUGCAAAGCCUCAAAGCUUUACUUCCACCUCCGCCAAAGAACGUGCACCCAUUUGAAUCAAGAGUACUCAAUGAGAUGAGAUUUUUCUUGAAAUCUAGAAUAUGUUGAACCUAAUAGAGUAUUCUAACUGCCCUAUCCACUAGUUUAAGUCUGAUUCUACAAAUACCAACUACCACCAAGGUAUGUUGUUUCCUAUGACCACGACUGUCUCAUAUGUCGAAAAUAAAUCUCGAUUGGGACAUAUAAAGAGCAAAAGCUAUAUUCAAAAUCUAAUUCUUAUUGGGUUUGGAGUUGCCGUCAGAAAUAGCCAACAUAUCUCCAUCACUCAAGUAGUUCUAUAAGACAUCGGCUUCACCUGUAGUUUCUGAUCGCUUUCCCUUUUGAUUUGCAGCUAACUUUCUUUUAUUCUACAACUUCUUGUAAUCUUUCUUGAUGUGUCAUUUCUUCUUACAAGAAAAACAAACUUGAUUAUUGAGAUUAGAUUUUGACCUAACACUUCUGUGACCACCAUGAACAAUAAGGCAUUUUCCAUCUCUAGCAUUAGAUCCAACUAGAUGUUUUAUUCUCUCUUUUGAAAACAAAACAUUAUACAAAUCUUCAAUGGUGAGAGUAUCACGACUAUACAAAAUCUUGUCUCUAAAAGAAGUGGGCAAUAAACAUAAAAAAAAAAAAAAAAAUUAAGGCUAAAUUUUCUUCAUUAUACUUUACCUCUAAAUCUCUAUACCUGCUGCGAUCUCCUUAAAAACUAUCAGGUGAUCUUCCAACGAUCUCUCUUCUAUCAUGCAAUGAGACGAACAUUGAAUCAAGUGCAAUUUGCUGGUUGGACUAUUAGUCAUGCAUAAUUACUUCAACUUCAACCACAACGAAGCUGUCAUUUUCUCCUUCGAAACGUCCUAAAAAAGUUACUUGAAACAUGAAGAUGAAUUUGUGAAAGUACCUUUCAAUCCUUACAUUGUUUUUCCUCCGUCGGGCAUCUUAUCAAAUCUCAACAAUGUAUCAUCCAAAUCCAUCUGUAUGGUACAUGUCGUAUCAUCACCUGCUACAAUAAGAAUUUAGUGUUGCAAUCAUACUUCAUGGUUGCCAUUAAGAAUAAGAACAAGAACCUUGAAACAAAUAAAAAAUCAAAGCUCUGAAACCAUUUGUGGGGGAUAGAACGAAGUUAUACGACAUGAUAUGAAGUGUUGAUCACAAAUAUAAGAUGAAGACAAAGACAAAAAUUUAAUUUAGCAGAGGAAUUGGAGAUUUU
rnacentral:lncRNA from 1 species